CACUGCCCUGGUCCUGCUGGCCACACUCUUGCUGAUACAGGCCAGGAUGCCACUGGCCUUCUUGGCCACCUGGGCACACUGACAAUGCAUGCUCAGCCACUGUCAGCCAGCACCACCAAGUCCUUUUCUGCCAGGCAGCUUUCCAGCCACUCUGCCCCAGUCUGUAGCACUGUCUGGGGUUGCUGUGACCCAAGAGCAGGACUCAGCACUUCACCCUGUUAUGUCACACCCUUGGCCUUGGCCCACUGAUCCAGCCUGUCCUGAUCCCCCUGCAGAGCCUCCCUGCCCUCUGCAGAUCAACACUCCUGCCCAGCUUGGUGCUGUCUGCAAUUUGUCCAUGUCCUCGCCCAGGUCAUUGAUAAACAUGCUGAACAGGACUGGCCCCAGUACUGAACCCUGGGGGAUGAUAAGUGUGCAUAAACAGAUCUGUGUCUUUGCCAAGUGUUUUCCUUCUUCAGUUAUGAAUGGAGGACUUGGUGUUUUUAAAGAUUAUACAAAGUAUAAAAGGUAUAAAAUAUACAGAUGUAUACUUUUAAAGUUCACCCUCAGUUCCUUCAAAUGUAUACAGACCAAUCACCUCAACAUUUUGGUAUAAUAUUUGCUGAACUUUUGAAAAGGUUUGUUUUUACUUGGUUUUGUUGUUUUGUUUUUUGUUUUAUUCUAUUUUAAAAAUAACUGUUUAUUAAAAUAAAAAUCUUAACAGCUGGUAAUAUUUGUAUUCAAAAAGAGAUUUUAGAAGUGGCUGACUUUACACCGAUAUCUCUUUCCAACACCCCUUCUGGAGGCAGAAAAGUGGAAAGGCAGCUGCAUAUCUCUGUCAUGGCUGAGACUGAACUUGUGCUAAGUAACUUGAGCAGCAACUGAGUGGACUGAGAUGACUGAAGAACUGGCUAGACCUGGGCUGCAGCUCUAGAUAUGGUCUGAUGCUGCUGCCUGGAACGGUAAUGUUACUUCAAAUAAAGCAGAAGAUUUAAUUUCUUGGAUGUUCCUUCUGCCUGGAACCAUUGCUGACCUCUAGCAAAUAAAAAAAUAAAGUCUGCCUGGACUUAUUGACUUGUUUUGUGUGGAGCUAGGGUUAUGGUGUCUGUGAAGACAUAUUGUCAAGUAAGUCUACUAGCAGCAGUAAAAGUGGGAAGUAAGCUUACUAGUAUGCAUCUGAACUGUUUUAAAACUCAGACCAUGACACCAAUGGCUGCAGUACAGAAAGAGGAGAGGCUGCUACUGUGCUCCAGCAGAACUCAAACCAUCUGGCUUAGUUUUUCCUUCGGCUAACAGUAACUUGGCAGUCAGACUGAACAGUUUUCCUGAUGGAAAUCUCCAAUGCACGUGAGUGGUUCAUUCACAGCAGAAACAGACAUACUUUCUACAGUCAUCUGGUGAAAUUCUGACCCAAGUACAUGUGUCUAACAUCUGUGACAGUGGAUAGUUUUGCUACAUUAAGCGUUAAUGAGGUGCAGGUCUGGGGGGUUGUGCUUGUUUUAGCUGGGGUAGUGCUAAUUUUCUUCACAGUAGCUAGACUUGGGCUGUCUUUUGAAUAAUUUGUGAACACAGUGAUGAUAGAGAAGAUACGUUUUUGUUAUUGCUGAGCAGGGCUCACACACAGCCAAGGCCUUUUAUGCUUUUCAUACUGAAUGCUGGUGAGGGGACUGAGGUGCGUGAGAGGUUGGGAGGAAACACAGACAGGAGACUCCAGUUGUCCAAAGGGAUAUUCAAGACCAUGUGACAUCAUGCUCUGUAUGUAAAGUGGGGGGAAGAAGGAAGAAGAGGGGGACAUUUGGAGUUUGUCUUCCCAAGUAUGUGUUGGGCAUGAUGGGGCCCUGCUCUCCUGAAGAUGGCUGUGAAAGGCACUUGUCUGCCUUGUGGAACACUGAAUUCCUUGUUUUGCUUUGCUUGUAUGUGCAGCUUUUUCCUUGCCUAUUGAACAGUCUCUCUCUCAACCCACAAGCCUUCUGGCUUUUAUCCUUCUGAUUCUCCCCCUGAUCUCACUGGUGGGGCAGUGAGGGAGUGACUGUGUGGGGCUUGGCUGCUGCUUGGGGUUAAACCAUGACAGGGUGAGAAGUACCAACAGGCACAAACCGGGCGUAACUGUGGCCAGUCUGAGAGCCAGGAGACUGUCUGAUCACUGGAGCAGGAACAGCUCCUUGGUUUGAGGCCAAAAGCCUAACUUUCAAGUGAGUAUGAGGAGAGUUGGUUCUCUGUUCUUCUGUUCUGACGCCAGUCAGGAAUAACUGUUUGCUAAGUUUAAUGUCUGUAAAGCUGGGCUUGCACACAUUGUCGAGGUCAUGCUUGUUACUGCCAUUAUUGACACUUGCUGAGUAUCACAUGCACUUAAAUUAAGUACUAGCAAUUUCAGGGAGUUCACACAAUGGAAAACUUUGUUCAUGCUGGCAGGAAAUAUACCUUGUAGGUUCAAUUUACAAGGUUUGAGCAAUAUAAUUUAUUUUCCUUUGAAGCUAAAUGCAAAGAUAUCUAUCCCAUGGUCUUCCAGAUAAUAACUCAGUGUCUUAUCUUACCUUCUCUGUUCAUGGUCCCAAAAGAAUAAAAUAACUUGGCAUCAGCA